rnacentral:rRNA from 1 species
GAUGAACGCUGGCGGCGUGCCUAAUACAUGCAAGUCGAACGAGGUGCUUUUGUAGCAAUACGAAAGUAUCCUAGUGGCGAACGGGUGAGUAAACGCGUUGGUGACCUACCCCAAAGUGUGGGAUAACAGUUCGAAAGAACUGCUAAUACCGCAUGUGGUUAUCGGGUUUAGAAACUGAUAACUAAAGGAGCAAUUCGCUUUGGGAGGGACCUGCGUCCCAUCAGCUAGUUGGUGAGGUAACGGCUCACCAAGGCUACGACGGGUAGGGGACCUGAGAGGGUGGCCCCCCACAAUGGAACUGAAACAACGGUCC